CUGGCAGUAAACGGUGCACGUUUAGUAUGGGAGGAUUCGACCCCUUCCGUGCUGGAGCUAACGCGUUAAACGUGCCGCCUGGGGAGUACGGUCGCAAGAUUAAAACUCAAAGAAAUUGACGGGGGCCCGCACAAGCGGUGGAGUAUGUGGCUUAAUUCGAUGCAACGCGAAGAACCUUACCUGGCCUUGACAUGCAUUUCUAAGUCGGUGAAAGCCGGCGAGUGUAGCAAUACACAACUUGCACAGGUGC
rnacentral:rRNA from 1 species